rnacentral:lncRNA from 10 species
CGCCGCCAGGUGCGCCGGGGACUUAGGCAGUGCCGCGCCGCACGGCCCGCGCCGGUUUCCAAGGUGAAGGAGGAGGAGCCUCUGAGGGAAAGUUUCCACAGAAACUUGAGCUGGGCGCAGUGUAGCACUCGCGCCCUUGGGGGCUAGCGUUUGGCCGGAGCUACACACUCUUUACUCACGCACGCACACCGCCGUACACAGCACAAUCGUUCACCGUCCCGCCAAAGGCUCGUCUCUCGGGUUCUGCCUAGUGGAAGGAGUCGGACAACGCCGCACGUCACGGGCGUUUCGGAUUUCUUGCUUCCCAAAGGUUUGACGGCGGCCACCGGCGCCCCGGCCCAGCUCUGCUUUCCUUUGCUGACUCCUUCCUUUAGGUGUGAAUUUUAAAAUGCUGAUACCGCCCCAAGAGAGCUGAGUCAAGUGAGGCAAACGUUCGCCUGUUGUUCUCCUGACAGACUCCCUGCAGUGGGCAGGGGAAAUGUGGCCUUGGCCGACAUUAAUGAAGUGCCAGGAUGGAGGGAGGGGGCCUGCUGAUUUGUUCUGUUUUACUUUUUAAGGGUAACUAGAGCGUUACUGGAGUCGUCUGUGGGUUUGGGGAGUAUGUGGCGCGUGUGUGUGUCACACAUUUCACUGGCAACUCCCGCCAACCCCUUCCCAAGAAAUGAAGGCUCUAAUGUGGGCAGUUCUGCAACAAAGGUGAAACUUCCCCAAAUCACGAUUCCCCGCAAGAUGAGAGAGCAGGUGCAGCAUCCAUUUUCCCACUAUCACGCUUGAGAUGGUGGCUUUGGGCACUGCCGGGUGCCCCGACAUCCUUCCCAGAGCCCAGCCUUCCCACCCAGGCCCGGCCCUGCGCGGCCGCCUGCCUUUGCAUCAGAGACCGCGGCUGUGCCAUUGCCAAGGUGGGCAGCGCCGCCUCGCUUCCCCAUUCCUCCGUCUCCCACGCCUCUUGCGUGUUUGAGUCGCGAAGUGAUGGACUUUAAAUCUCAGAGGAGGAAUGAGAAACUUGGUUAGUGGCUCUCUUGGCAUGUUCGUAGCCCUGUGGUUGAAGUGGCUGAAACCUGCGUUGAGCCUCAGUCCAAGCAGCUGGGGCCACACCAGUUUGCAAAAGCGGAUGUGGCAGUUUCCACCGCAGCAGCAGCCUGCUGGCGCCUCAUCAGAUUCUCCUUUGGAGGAAGUAUCUUCUUCCCUUCAUUCUCGGUGAAUGGCAUCCAGAGAUAACCAAAAUCAGGUGUAUCUAGUUUCAAGUUCUGUCUUGCAACCGUGAUAAUUGGAGGAUGCAAACUUUACACUUUCUUCUCUAGCUGUCUACCACCACUGCUGCGCUUGUGGAUGACUGCAGGAACACCGGGUACUUGCCACAAGUAUCUCUCCAGAUUCAUCAGCCUUUCACCUGUGACAAGCUCAGUCAAGAAGUGGCUCCUAAGUAAAAGCUGGGGAAGAACAAGGAAGAUAGAGCUCAGAGUAGAAAGCUGUGAAGUUCUGCACAACAGGUCCCCUUGGCCUGCUCUAACAGUUGGAAGGUGGGGGAAGCAUUCAUUUACUCAACAAAUAUAUACUGAGUGCCUUUUGCAUGCUAGGCACGCUUCUAGGGGUUGAGGACACAGCAGAGAGCACAAACAACAAUUCCAGCCCUCGUGGAGCUUACCUCUUCCACGUGGGAAAGACAGAUGGUAAAUGUAUAAGGACAAUAUAUGGACUGCUGUAUGAUUAGAAAUGCUAUGGAGAGGCUAGGAGUGCUGUCUCAUGCCUGUAAUCCCGCAGUUUGGGAGGCCAAAGGAGGAGGAUCACUUGAGGCCAGAAGUUGGAGACCCAACCUGGGCAACAUAGUAAGACCCCCUAUCUACAAAAAGUUUAAAAAUUAGCCAGGCAUGGUGGCGUGCACCUGUAGUCCUAGCUAUCCAGGAGGCUGAGGUGGGAGGAUCACUUGAGCCCACUGCAUUCCAGCCUGGGUGACAGAGUGAGACCCUGUUUUGAAAGAAAGAAAGAAAUGCUGUGGAUAAAAAUUAAGCAGAGAGGGUACAUAGAAAGUAUGAGGGGUGCUAUGUUCGGAGAGGGGUGAUGAUCAAGGAAAGCUUCUGGAGGAGGUAACAUUUGAGGAACGACUUGAGGGAGGUUAGGGAUAUCUGAGCAGACAACUUCCCAGGCAGAAAGCAUAGCAAAUGUAAAGGCCCUGAGGCAGGAGUAUGCCUAAGUGUACUAGGAGCAAUCCAGAAGGCACCAUGAAAGAAUGGAGAAGAUGAAGUCAAAGAAGUGAAAGGUGGGGGUGAUGCAGAUCAGACAGGCAUGGUAGCUCAUGUGGAAGCUUCCCGAGGCCCUCACCCAGAAGCAGAUGCUGGAGCCAUGCUUGUACAGCUUGCAGAACU